rnacentral:rRNA from 1 species
CCUACGGGAGGCGGCAGUGGGGAAUAUUGCACAAUGGGCGCAAGCCUGAUGCAGCCAUGCCGCGUGUAUGAAGAAGGCCUUCGGGUUGUAAAGUACUUUCAGCGGGGAGGAAGGUGUUGUGGUUAAUAACCACAGCAAUUGACGUUACGCGCAGAAGAAGCACCGGCUAACUCCGUGCCAGCAGCCGCGGUAAUACGGAGGGUGCAAGCGUUAAUCGGAAUUACUGGGCGUAAAGCGCACGCAGGCGGUCUGUCAAGUCGGAUGUCAAAUCCCCGGGCUCAACCUGGGAACUGCAUUCGAAACUGGCAGGCUAGAGUCUUAUAGAGGGGGGUAGAAUUCCAGGUGUAGCGGUGAAAUGCGUAGAGAUCUGGAGGCAUACCGGUGGCGAAGGCGGCCCCCUGGACAAAGACUGACGCUCAGGUGCGAAGGCGUGGGGAGCAAACAGGAUUAGAUACCCGUGUAGUC